UUCAGUUUAAAAAAAUAGAAACGCUUCCCCUUUCACCUUACCUUCGUUCAUUUUCUCCUUCUCUGAGCCGUUUCUCUAGGGUUUCAAAAUCAUUUAAAACCUUCCUCAGAGAAUUUCAUGUAUCUGGCUGCUUCAGUCAAGGAUUCGCAUUCUUUAGAUUAUCAGUUUCAUUCGCACCCUUUUCUCCCAAAAUUUUCAGCGCGCCGUUUGAGAGGAAGAAAGAAGCUUUGGAUGAUUCGUGAUAACUGAGAGUUUGUGAAGCCAUGGGCUCUGAACAAGGCGAGGAUUGAGUAAGGGUUUUGUGAGUCGGUGAGACGAACUCGGGUGGAGAUGCUGGAAGCGGUUUCAGGGGAGAAGUUGAAGUUGUUGAUGAGGUAGUUGGUGGUGAAUGAGUGUUGUUUGGAGGAGGAAAAGUGGUGAAGAAAUGAGGGGGUUUUGAUGAUGGUGAUGUUGAGGUGAAGUUGAUAAAGGAUGGGAGCUUUGAUGUUGAGGUUAAGGUCCAUGUGAUUCGCUGCAAUGGAGUAUAAGAUUGUGGUGGCUGGGUUUGAUAAUGCUGCAAAGAUCACCACCAUUUAUAAAUUGCAUUUGGUGCAUAUGACUAUGGCUGAGGUUUGGCACCGGAAAUAGUUCCUUCAAUGGUGGUUGUGGCUGGGUGAUAGGGUUUUCAUGGUGCAUUUGGGUUUUUCCGCAAUUUUUCAGGUUUGUUUCUCUUUCUGGCGGUUGGGAUUCGUUCUCGCGGCUGGCACCCAAUCUAAGCUGUUGAUUACCUUUGAAUCCAAAAAUGACUUCUCUCUAUUGUAGUUUUAAAGGAAAAAAUGUAACACAUAACUCCAAUUCAAUUUUACGUUACAGUCUUAUAGAUACUUUGAAAUUUGAAUAGCCUGAAAGUCUGAAACUCCUCCUCAAUGCCAUUACUAAUUAAUAACCAAUACGGGAACGAUUACCAUUUCUUCUCACUGCGAUUCAUCUUCCAUAUCAGGUAAGGAAAUUUCUUUUUAUGCAUUCUUUCUUCUUCUGAUUUUGCCUCACCCCAUAUUUCUACUCAAUACUGUUAUCAUGCGUUGCCAGUUUGUGUGCAGCGCCGCCACGAACCCAUUCACAGUAGGUGUUUCUCUCCGCGUGUUUAUAUGAGAUUUGGUUCUGUAAGUUUCCCAUCUUUCAGCUUAAUUGAAUCCACAUGAAUUCAUUCCUCCAUUUGUUCCUUUGCUCCAUUUUGCAGGUACUGUGGUACCUAUGUGACCCAUGAUUUUACUGCUGUGACUGAAUUUAACCAUGCUAUUGGAGCUCAAGGAAUUAUGAGUGUAGAAUAUAAGGAAAUUGUUGCUCAAUAUGGAGAGCUGAUUUGGGAUCACUUGGUAUCAGGGGUAUGUUCACAAUUUGCAACUCCCAGAAAACUGCAUUCCCAUGUCUGAUAAGGGUGGAGAGCAUGUGGAACUCCAAAUUCAAAAGGAGAAAACAAUGGACAAUGACCAGGGAUCAGGGAUGGGCUGUGGCCAGUCAAGGGACAACCGUACAAGAAGGACAACACAGGGCAAUCGAGGCACAUUUAUUAUGUGCCUUGAUGAACAUGACCAGUGGAAGAAUAAGGCUAGAGAUAAAGGGAUUUUGCAAAGAAUGGCUGAUUUAUAAGCAAGAACUCCAAACGCCAUACCAUUGUAAUCGCCUGAUACUGUCAGGAGUUAAUGUGGUCAUCCAAAUGGAGAAUUUCUUCAUGUAUCGUUGCUAAAUGCUUGGAGCUGGAACUACAAGCUAUAACUUUGCACUGACACAAAUUGCUUCUUUUACCACGGACAUCAAAUUGUCCUCCUUGGUGUAACAGGUAUGAGGCAUUCUCUGUAGCAUAUUGAAAGCGGAUUGGAAAGCAAGCUUACACAUGAGUUGAUCUGGAUAGUUAUUUUUAUGCUCUUUUGUUUGCUAAGAAAAUUCUUUGCUCAUAAUAUUUUCAUUCACUUGCAUGCCAUUAGUGAGGGAAAAAGGAUUAAUGGCAUUCAAAUAAAAUUAUUUCAAU